rnacentral:rRNA from 1 species
UACGUAGGCAGCGAGCGUUGUUCGGAGUUACUGGGCGUAAAGCGUGCGUAGGCGGUGUCUUAAGUUUGUUGUGAAAUCUCCCGGCUUAACCGGAGGGUGCGGCGAAUACUGAGAUGCUGGAGUGCCGGAGAGGUAAGCGGAAUUCCUGGUGUAGCGGUGAAAUGCGUAGAUAUCAGGAGGAACACCUGCGGUGUAGACGGCUUACUGGACGGUACUGACGCUGAGGCACGAAAGCGUGGGUAGCAAACAGG